GCCCCGUUCGUCUAGCGGUCUAGGACGCCGCCCUCUCACGGCGGAAACAGGGGUUCGAGUCCCCUACGGGGCGCCA
rnacentral:tRNA from 1 species